rnacentral:lncRNA from 1 species
UGGAGGAGGAGACUUAUACUUGUAAACAGGUGGUGGUGGAGAUGGGUACUUAUAUUCCUUCUUUGGUGGUGGUGGAGAUUUGUAAUAGUAUGGUGGGGGAGGAGAAUGCACCGGUGGUGGUGGAGAUGAGUACUUAUAAGGUGGUGGAGGAGAAUGAACCGGUGGAGGAGGAGACUUAUACUUGUAAACAGGUGGUGGUGGAGAUGGGUACUUAUAUUCCUUCUUUGGUGGUGGUGGAGAUUUGUAAUAGUAUGGUGGGGGAGGAGAAUGCACAGGUGGUGGUGGUGAGAGAUACUUAUAGGGAGGAGGAGGUGAAUGAACAGGAGGAGGAGGUGACUUGUACUUAUAAACAGGUGGUGGUGGGGAUGAGUAUUUGUAUGGCUUCUUAUGUGGUGGUGGAGGUGAUGAAUACUUGUAUGGA